AAAUGGCCUCUGGAUCCAUAGCCUAGUAAUCUCAUAUGAUCCUAUGAUCUAUAGAACAUUUAUACAGCAUUGAUACAUCCCCUGUAAAUAACUGAAGCUACAGAUAGAACUUUUAAUCUUUCCCAGUAAGAGUAUUGAUGUAAGCCCCUAAUAGACCUUGGAAAUGACUUUUGAAUACUUUCUAAUUCAUUUAACUGAGUACUGAUAUAAACACAUGCACUAUCGCAAUAUUCAGUCAUAGAUGUAAUAUACUAUCAUAUUAUAAUGGAAGCAAGACCUCUGCAUGCCUAUUUAAGAAACAGCAUCUAAUGUGGUUCAAUACCCUAUGGCACUUCCUAAUAAUACUAAAUAGAUGCCCAUAAAACUUUAGCCCAGAAUCAAUAGCAACACCCAAAUGCUUAACACUAUUUGCACUUGAUAUCAACUAACCAUCUAAAGAAUGUGGAUAUUCAUUUUUCCAAAGUGCAAAAUAAAACAUUUUUAACAUUAAACUGCAUUUCUGCUGAAUUGCACCAAAGAUGUAAACAAUCCAGAAGCUGCUAUAAAUGUUUGUGGCCAUGAAAAGUGCUAAUACUUUUUCCAAUUUUGGUGUCAUCCAUGAACUUAUGCCUGAAAUAAAGAACUCUGCCAUAAAAAUACCUGAAUGGCCUCAGGAUCAACCCCUGCAAGACUUCUCUGACAACAUUCCUUGGUUUAGAGAGACAGUCCUUUACUCUCACACCAAAGGACCUUCCAGGCCACCAUUUUGUCACUCAUCACUUUACUUAGUGGUUAAUAUUUAAAUCAUCCAUACAUUUCAAAAUCACAUUAUGAGUGAUGUAAUCAAAUGCUCUAGCAAUUUCCAGUUAAUGGACAUCAACAGGAAAAACCUUAUCCAGUGAACAAAAAUAUUCUGACAGAAAUUUAUCAAGCAGGUAAGCCACAAUAAUAAGAAUUAUCCAGUGAACAGAAAUAUUCUGACAGAAAUUUAUCAAGCAGGUAAGCCACAAUAAUAAGAAUAACCUUAUCCAGUGAACAAAAAUAUUCUGACAGAAACGUAUCAAGUUAGACUGACUAGCACGACCAUAUACAAAAUCCAUGUUGGUAAAUAUUGUUACUCAAACUUAGUUCUUUCACUUUUUUGGAAUGAUUUUUUCAAAACACUUUGACAAAAUGCAAAUUAAGCUAAUCAGCUUAAAGGCCUCCACCUGACAACCAUUAGAUGAAUUUGGUAUACGAAUUACUCUUGUCUUCCACCCCAAAAAAGUACUGUUGUAUUGCCGAACAAGUCUACAACGAUUUUUUUGUAAGGAAUAGUCAUUAAGGUCAAUCAGGGCAGCUGCUCUAUUCUGUCUGACAGAUCUUAGUGCAUUAUUGCAGCCAUCCUGUCUAUCUCCAUAUACAAUAACCGAGGCAAAUCAAAGUUUUGCACCAACAUUACUAAAUAAUUUAUCAGAAAAGACAGAAACUGAUUCUAGCAGAUCAGAAAUCAUUCUUUUAUCCUUUAAGCAGUAACCUGACAUCUGAUCUUUCCCAUAAUUUAUAAAGUGCUUGAACAAUGUUGUACUGGUAUUGACGUAGUUUCUUGCCACACUUAAUUUAUAACAUUUUCUUUUAUUCCUUAAUAGUCUCAUAAAAUAUUUUUGGUUAUAGUACACUAGCCUAUUUUUUUUCACUAGGUCUUUUUUAACCAUUAACCAGUAAUGCUUCCUUUGUCUGUUAACUCUGGAAACUGUUACAAGACCAUCCUUCUAGAAAAUGUUUUCUCUUAGUCCGUUGUUUACCAAGAGGAACAAAUAUAUCAGUUAAUUUGUUUAAAAACCCAUAAAAUGUAGACCAUUUAAUCUCAAGGUUUUCCCGUCCAUGUUUCUUUCCACUGCAGUUUUGCAAUGUCUUUAUUAAUUGCCAAGUAAGUAGUGCUGUAGAAUUGUAUUUGCAACAUUCCACAUGUUGGAAUAUAUAAAAAUGCACUCUGUACCCAGGUGGUCUGAAGUACUAUGUUAUUCUACUAAACUACAGCUAGAUAUGGUUACUUUCUCACUUAUCUAAACAACAUCACGGAAGCUAUUACCCCUAGUGGCCUCACUAACAGCCUGACAACAUCUAAAUAAGGUGCUGUUUUCCACAAUAAGAUUGGCUGCAGAUGAAUUGUUAUUUGGUUCUUUCCAAUUAAUAUUAGGGGCAUUAAUGUCUCUAGCUAUGAUAUUAUAACUGUUACUGAAACAAGAUCAAAUUAUAACCUCAAAGUCAGGGCCAGAUAAUAAUUAUUUAAUAGGAUUUCCAUAAAACAUUGCCUCAUAAUUUGAAUCACAUUGUGUUAUCCUGACUACAAACAGGUCACUGUUUUUAUCUAAUAGGAAGGUACAUAAACUAAACUUAGCUGAAAUGUAAAGAGACACCCACCCCCUGUUCUUCCAGCCCUAAAAUUAUGGUGACCUUUGUAAUUGGGAAUAGACAUUAGGCUAUUUUUCCUACUACACCAUGUUUCAGUAAUCAUGGCCACAUCAUAAUUAUUAGAAAUAGUUCUCCCUAUAAGGAUACCUAUUUUAUUAGUCAUAAUUUUUGCAUUUGCUAGGAAAAUAAAUAUGUGCCUGUCUUUUAUCAGGCAUCUGUUUGACAUGGCCUAUUAUUUCACUAUCAAAGUUUACAUUUUGGUCCUUUUGACCUUCCAUUGUUUGACAGAAGACGAGACAUUUAUUUAUUUUUUUAUUUCUGCUUUGUUGACUUGGUUUGUCCCAUUGAACUACUGGCUGUUUUUCAAAGAUGAGACCUGAGGUACUAUUCCUAAUAACUAGGGGUAAGUCCCUUACUUUUUUCAGUAAGAGCCAAGGGAUUAUAGGUUUAUAGGUUUGCAAUGCAGUAACCUUUUAAGGACCUUGUUCAUCUUCCCAAUUGCCACAAAACAAUAUUUGGUUAAGUGACUUGCCCAUGGUCACCCUGCAAGAAAACAAAGGUGGAAAGAGAUAAACUUUACACCCUUAACACAGAUGUUGCUCAUUAAUAAGUCAGAGCUUGAAUUCUCUGUGCUAAUUGCCAGACAUGGCACUGUUUUAGCUAUGUGGCUCCCGAAUGCCCAUGACUUUUUACUUUCAUUUUUUAAGUGUUUACUGGUGCAUUCAGGCCAAUAAGGCCAAAUUCCACUAGCUGAAGACAUGCCCGAUGUUGCUCUUUUUCUCAGAAUGUCAAUACAGCAUAAGUGGAUUGUUUCAAAACAAUGGCUCUUUCUUACCAUGCAUGUGGGUGUUUUUCUUUAUGAAGUCAGGAAGUUAUUAGAUUUAUAGGUGGUUACUGGGCUUGAGGUCCAGAAGACCACUGAGGAACUUCUCCCAAUUUCCAAAUUGCCCCAGAGCCCUGUCUGGUUAAGUGACUUCCUCAAGGUCACAAAGUAAGCAAAUGAAGGCUGAGGGAAUCAAACCUUAAACCACAGGAAGCAACUUGUUAACAUCUCAUAACCUUAAUAUUCUACUACCAGAGCAAUCAUAUACAUCCAUCUGCACUACCGCCUACUCCUGCAUCUUAAUUUAACAUCUCAUCCAAAGGAAGGUGCAGUCAGUAGUGGAGUGCCUUGCAGACGGGGUCUUAAUUUGACAUCUCAUCCAAGGGAAGGUGCAGUCAGUAGUGCAGUGCCCUGAAGACGGGGUCUUAAUUUAACAUCUCAUCCAAAGGAAGGUGCAGUCAGUAGUGCAGUGCCCUGCAGAUGGGGUCUUAAUUUGACAUCUCAUCCAAAGGAAGGUGCAGUCAGUAGUGCAGUGCCCUGCAGAUGGGGUCUUAAUUUGACAUCUCAUCCAAAGGAAGGUGCAGUCAGUAGUGCAGUGCCCUGCAGACGGGGUCUUAAUUUAACAUCUCAUCCAAAGGAAGGUGCAGUCAGUAGUGGAGUGCCCUGCAGAUGGGGUCUUAAUUUAACAUCUCAUCCAAAGGAAGGUGCAGUCAGUAGUGGAGUGCCCUGCAGAUGGGGUCGUAAUUUAACAUCUCAUCCAAAGGAAGGUGCAGUCAGUAGUGCAGUGCCCUGCAGAUGUGGGGCCUUAAUUUAACAUCUCAUCCAAAGGAAGGUGCAGUCAGUAAUUUAACAUCUCAUCCAAAGGAAGGUGCAGUCAGUAGUGCAGUGCCCUGCAGAUGGGGUCUUAAUUUGACAUCUCAUCCAAAGGAAGGUGCAGUCAGUAGUGGAGUGCCCUGCAGAUGGGGUCGUAAUUUAACAUCUCAUCCAAGGGAAGGUGCAGUCAGUAAUUUAACAUCUCAUCCAAGGGAAGGUGCAGUCAGUAGUGGAGUGCCCUGCAGAUGGGGUCGUAAUUUGACAUCUCAUCCAAAGGAAGGUGCAGUACACAUGUUAUACUGCACUACUGUGUCAUCACUGGUUUGGCACAUCUAUUCAAGUAAUCUUUAGCUGCAUUUCUGGCCCUUUUAAAGAUCCUUCCUCCUUCAAGCAGCCUGAACUGCAUUGUUGUCAAGAUAUCAUGUAUACCCUUUGAACCAGCUGGUUACACAAAUCUAAAAUUUGUGUAAGAUAGUUUUCCAGGUAACCAUUGUCAACAGCUGCUACAGGCUACACUCUGUAAAGACCCAUGUCUGUCUUUUUACAAGUACAAUGUUCCACUUAGGAUAAAAACUUGCUUUGUUUCUAUGGUUGUAUUUACAAUUCUAGACUUCCUCCUUGAAGUUUAGAGAGGGAGAUACUUUAUUUUAUACACCAGAUAUCUGCCACCAGUUAUAGUUUAGUAUAGAAAGACACAGACAUUUGUUUGGCUUCUGGAAGAGGUGAUGCUUCCAUGGCUAAACAGUAGCCAAUGUCAGUUCACUGUUUUCUCUUAUACAAUCAGGAAUCACUUUAGCACUUGGCAAUAUAAAAUACUUUUUUAUGCAUUUGUUAACCAGGUAAACCCACUGAACAAAAGUUUCCUUUUUCAGAUGUGACGCAGGAGUCAAGUGACUUGCUCAGAAUCACACAAUAAGCAAACUGAGGUGAAAAGAAUCAGACCCUGUAGCACUGACUUAGAUUCAUAGGUGUAUAUUAGGCUAAAGACCACUAGGAACCUUAUAAUCCUAGCUGUGCAACCCACAUGUUUGGUUUAUAUAGGUGGUGAUUUACUUACUUCUUCUGUUCCAUCAGAGACAUAGGAGCCAGACCAAGGGUGAAUUUAUGAUUACCCAUCCGUUGGUCCAAGUUGUGCUUAAAUAGGGGUAGCGAGGAACUUUGCUUCACAUGGAUGGGGAGCCUGAAUCAGAGAAUGGGAAUUCUCUGUGAAACAAGCAGCUUAUUAAUAGCUCAGAGCCUCAGUUCUGCACUAAUUGUAAGAAAAUUCACAAUGAGAUGGCCACUCCUACUGCUUAUUUUAAGAAUAUGACUAUACAGCAGUCCUCUGUACAGUGGUCAAUUGAUCUUUAAUAUACAGCUUUACCAAGCACUGAAGUACAUACAUCCUCUGUAGUAGUAAAACUUUCUGAAAACAGUUCUUUUUUUGCCUGUCACUGUCCUAUGCUUUUGGUAUUUGGUAUAGUUCCAGGGAUUGUAGCCAUGUGUUUUACCUGUUACAUAUGGCCCACUGAAGUGAGACAUAGCUUAUAUGUGGGUACUCUCCGUAACAGUAUUAUUCCUGAAAAUAUUUUCUGCAGGUGGUACCUCAUGCCCAUCCGUGAUCCUAUCGCCACCUUGAGCUACACACAGUGAGAUCUUUCUGUAAGUUAACCAAAUCCAGUUAAUCUGUUCUUUCAUAUCUUUGCUGUAUGCCUUGUUUCCUUUUAGACUGAAUCCAGUUGGCAUAAUGGUUAAGGCGUUCACCUUACAAACACAAGGCCCAGGGUUUGAUUCUCAGAUGGGGUAAAUGGCUAGGAUUAAAAUGGCCGACAAAGGCAGUUAGCCUAGUACUAACCUAUGAAAUAGGAAACAAGAAAGAGAGACUGUUGACUUGAAAAAACAACUCUCAGCUUUGGAGCAAGGAUAUUACAUAUGGGACAGAAGUGGCAUUCUUUUGCAAACAUGGGGGUUCUAGAUUUUUGGAAAAACCAUACAAGAAGUCGCAGUCAAUAAGUCACAGGAUAGGGUACUAAAGUAUUGCACCCAAUGCACAAGAGUCUCUCAAAGGUCAGGUGAACAGAUGAAUCAUCACAUCACUAAUAUAUUCUCUUACAGAUGGGUUAUGAUUCAUAUUGACCAUAAGAAUGAAGCUGUUAAUGCACCAUUGAUAAGAAAAAAAUAAUACAAAAUCAGAAAUAACUUGUGCUGCCAGUUCCUUCUUUUUCCUUGAUUGGAAGAAUGUUCAUCAUCAUCACAAUGAAUAACCUUUUUAGAACAUAAUGCCUUUGAAAUAUGUUAAAUAACUUGGAAAAUACUGCAGAAACAUAUUCUGAGCAGGGUGACUAUGCCUGAAUUGUUUACUGUUUGCUAACUUUCUGAGCACUGAUUUACCCUUCAACAAACAGCAGCAUUCAAAGGUCUGUCUUGUUUGCAAAGACUGAACAAGAAAAUCUCAGAUGGAAAUAAAGAUUGAUUAUGAAAUGCCAAUUCAGUAUAACAGUGGAAAAGACUACAGCAUAGCAUAGCAGUCAAAAAUCUAAUCAAACCCUAAAACGUUAGGAGCAGUCUAACAAUGAAAAUAACAGAUUGCAUUUAUUAGAUGUACCUGUGAAAACAAACAGGAAAUGAACAUUUCCAUGAUUUAAGUAGCUGGCUCUUAGUUGUAAUCUGUAGUCCAAUACUUUCCACAGAUUUUGGCAUUUUAGAAAAUGCAUGUAUAACAGUUUCAUGUGACAUUGUAAGUGCACAGUUGAUGACUAUGCUAUCUAUACCUUCAUGAGACAAUCACUGCAUUUCUGAUGUCUUCCUGAGUAAUGUCUUUAGCAAACUGCUGUCCUUCAGCUGAUGUGUGGAUUGACUUUGCUUAACAUACCCUGUUGAGCUGUUUUGCAGUCAGGCGUGUACCUAGAAUUGGCACCUACCAUUCUAGCCUAAAACUCUGUUUUGAGUCAUACCUGGUGACUUGGACUUUGUCUUUCUGCUACUUCCAUCGUGAAUUCAUCUUAAUACUGUAAACACAGGGAAUUGUAAUUAAUCUUCUACCCACUAGAUGUCAUUACAAUCAGACUGCUUUUCCUAGACAUUGUUACCUUUAUCUGAAAGUUGGACCUGCAUCUAAUCCUGCCUUCACUGUUCCACAGCAGUCUCACCACUGUAUGCACAAGGCAUGAUACAUAUCUUUCUGGUGAUGUAUGUCAAUAGCACGGUAUGAAUGUUGCAGUCAGAAGUGAAGAGAUGUAACUUUACUCUUAAAUAUUUUAUUUAACUGCGUUUAUCUUUUUGUAAAUGAAUGAAAUCCAAUAGACGUAAGUACCAAGGUUCUAGGAUAACUUGUGCAUUUGUGUGAUACACAGGUAAAGAUUAUAGUAAUGAAAUGCAGCUGUUCUGCAUAUGGCUCAUUCACAGCUCACUGCUCUAACCUCUAAACCACAUGGGUGUUUUGUUAGUGCACACUGUGACUCGAUUACACACUGAUCUGUGUCUUUGGGUUCCUUGUAAGCCACAGACCUACUAGAGUGCUGUGACUAUGGGCUUUAUAUGCAUUCAUUUAAAAUACAGUAAUACAAGAAUGCUGUUAUCUGAGUGAAGCAUGGUUUAGGAACACUAACUGCGGGUUAGCAGAAUCUUUUCUGUCACAUAUACCUUGUGUUAAAGGUUUUACAUAAACACAAAACAGUCUGCUGAUCUACAAUACUUGACACACAUUAGUUGGUAAAUUCUGAACUCGUGGUAUAAAUGUAGAGCACAACAUUCCUUAUAAUUAAUGAGAUACUGUUUGUACUGUUUUCCACAGCAAUAACUAAAUUAUGCACUUGUUGAUUUGUUAAGUUAAAGUUAGCAUACACAGAAGAGAGAGAUGAGACACUAACUUACAAAUUUCUUUGAAAUGUAAAUAAAUUACAUUUUACUUGAAA